GGAAGUGGACCGGGUCUAGAGGGACACCGGUUCCAGGAGCUCAGACUGAACGGAGUCCGGUGCGAGAGCACAGCUUCUGGGGACCUGGAUGAGACCUGCUGGGACACCCCACUCACUCCGCAGCCUGAAGGCAGUGUCCUUGGAAAACUGGCAGAAGACGGCAAAGGCCCCUGUGGAUCGCAACCCAUCCGAAUUGAUCCUGUACCAUUGGUUCCUGCUCCAACAAAGUCCGCUGGCAUUCAAGAUGGCAUUCGAGCACGAUCUACGGGAAAGUGAAUGGGGUCAGACCAUGUUUGCUUGGAGCAGUAGUUUCGGUCAUGCUUAUUUCUGUCUGCAGUGGAACCAACAAGAGAGGAGAGGCAGGGUUUCUGGAAGGCUGGGAAGACAAUGUUGAGUGAACACCUACAAGAUCCCCUGCCCUCAUGAAGUGUAUGGUCUUGUGGGGGACACAGACAGUCAGAGAAUGACUCGAAUAAAUGUAAGAUUGCCGCUCGAUAAUUUUAAGAUGCUGUUACGAGAGUGUGAAUAGGGGAUUUGAUCUGGUAAGGAAGGUCAGGGAGAGUGUCCCUGAGGUGGUAAUUGAGCUGGGAUGUUAAAGGAUGAGU